GAUGAACGCUGGCGGCGUGCCUAAUACAUGCAAGUCGAGCGAACGGACGAGAAGCUUGCUUCUCUGAUGUUAGCGGCGGACGGGUGAGUAACACGUGGAUAACCUACCUAUAAGACUGGGAGAACUUCGGGAAACCGGAGCUAAUACCGGAUAAUAUUUUGAACCGCAUGGUUCAAAAGUGAAAGACGGUCUUGGUGUCACUUAUAGAUGGAUCCGCGCUGCAUUAGCUAGUUGGUAAGGUAACGGCUUACCAAGGCAACGAUGCAUAGCCGACCUGAGAGGGUGAUCGGCCACCCUGGAACUGAGACACGGUCCAGACUCCUACGGGAGGCAGCAGUAGGGAAUAUUCCGCAAUGGGCGAAAGCCUGACGGAGCAACGCCGCGUGAGGGAUGAAGGUCUUCGGAUCGUAAAACUCUGUUAUUAGGGAAGAACAUAUGUGUAAGUAACUGUGCACAUCUUGACGGUACCUAAUCAGAAAGCCACGGCUAACUACGUG
rnacentral:rRNA from 1 species